rnacentral:rRNA from 1 species
UACGGGGGGGGCAAGCGUUGUUCGGAAUUACUGGGCGUAAAGGGCUUGUAGGUGGCCAACUAAGUCAGACGUGAAAUCCCUCGGCUUAACCGGGGAACUGCGUCUGAUACUGGAUGGCUCGAGUGUGGGAGAGGGAUGCGGAAUUCCAGGUGUAGCGGUGAAAUGCGUAGAUAUCUGGAGGAACACCGGUGGCGAAGGCGGCAUCCUGGACCAUAACUGACACUGAAAAGCGAAAGCCAGGGGAGCAAACGGG